rnacentral:rRNA from 1 species
GCAUAUCAAUAAGCGGAGGAAAAAGAAACCAACAGGGAUUGCCUCAGUAACGGCGAGUGAAGCGGCAACAGCUCAAAUUUGAAAUCUGGCCUCACGGUCCGAGUUGUAAUUUGUAGAGGAUGCUUUUGGCGAGGUGCUUUCCGAGUUCCCUGGAACGGGACGCCAUAGAGGGUGAGAGCCCCGUACGGUAAGACCACCGAGCCUCUGUAAAGCUCCUUCGACGAGUCGAGUAGUUUGGGAAUGCUGCUCUAAAUGGGAGGUGUACGUCUUCUAAAGCUAAAUACCGGCCAGAGACCGAUAGCGCACAAGUAGAGUGAUCGAAAGAUGAAAAGCACUUUGAAAAGAGGGUUAAAAAGUACGUGAAAUUGUUGAAAGGGAAGCAUUCAUGACCAGACUUGGGCUUGGUUGAACAUCCGGCGUUCUCGCCGGUGCACUCUGCCAGUCCAGGCCAGCAUCAGUUUGCCCCGGGGGACAAAGGCGGUGGGAAUGUGGCUCUCUUCGGGGAGUGUUAUAGCCCGCCGUGUAAUGCCCUGGGGCGGACUGAGGAACGCGCUUCGGCACGGAUGCUGGCGUAAUGGUCAUCAAUGACCCGUCUUGAAACACGGACCAAGGAGUCGUCUUCGUAUGCGAGUGUUCGGGUGUCAAACCCCUACGCGUAAUGAAAGUGAACGUAGGUGAGAGCUUCGGCGCAUCACCGACCGAUCCUGAUGUUCUCGGAUGGAUUUGAGUAAGAGCAUACGGGGCCGGACCCGAAAGAAGGUGAACUAUGCCUGUAUAGGGUGAAGCCAGAGGAAACUCUGGUGGAGGCUCGCAGCGGUUCUGACGUGCAAAUCGAUCGUCAAAUAUGGGCAUGGGGGGCGAAAGACUAAUCGAACCUUCUAGUAGCUGGUUUCCGCCGAGU